rnacentral:lncRNA from 1 species
AGUCCUGCCUGGAUAGUCUUUUGAGCACGCUAGAGAAGGACUCUAUCAAGAACACUGUUUUGGUACCCAAGCAAUUGGAUUUCUCCCCUGCACCCAGCUGCCUUGUCUGUGUCUAAUGAAGAAUCUACUCUGCCUGUACCCAGGACCCAGCCAGUUGAUUCUGCAACCACUGAGAGAAGAAAUGGUACACAUCUGCUAUUUUUAAAGGUGUUUUCUCUACCAGUUGGGGGUGCAGCAGAAGUAUAGGCCAUUGGUAGCACAGGAAUUUGGUUUGUCUCCAAAUUAGUGUGGACAGCUAUCAAGUCUGCAAACCACACACAAAAUCCCCUAUAACACCUUCUCUAAAAGGGGAGCCUGGGCACUACAGAGUCAGUAUUGGGGUAAUUCCUCUAAACCUGUAUAUCUGGGGUCCCUGAAUCAGAUGUCUAAGUCUGAGACCCCCAACCUAGAAUAUUAUUUAAUGCCAUCUCCUGUUACGAAGGGCUGAGACUUAAAAUCAUAGAAGGACCCCUUUUUAAAGAACUGCUUGUUCUGUGGAAGGAGCCCCUCAGACAAGUGCUCUGGGGCAGUGCCACCCAGUGUGAUCCUUGACCACAGCAUUAGUGCCACUUGGGAGCUCAUGAGACAAGCAGAAUCUCAGGUUCCCUUCCAGAUCUGCUGGAUCAGAACCUCCCUCAACAAGGUCCCAGGAGACUUAGGUGUGCAUUAGAGUUUGAGCAGCUCUGGUGCCGUGGACUUAAAUGAGUCACACACCUUCUCUGGGUCCCUUGAGUCACAAAACACUGUGAAAGACUUUGGUUUAUCAUCUCCCAAAGUUCAAGAAAGUUCAAAGUUUCCUGGGAAAGCAGAGGUAAUGUUAAUAAGCAUGGCAAGUACAGCUAAACCUCUUCUUUGAAUUAGCCACUGAAGAAAUAUCCAAAAAAAUUCAUGCAAUUCUUCAUUUGGGUGCUUUUUAACCCUCAGAGCUCUUGAAGGGAGAAGUGCCUCUGGAAUGCAGCAUUGCCCUUAGAUCCUUCAGACACGGAGAUCAAAGGUGAGAGUCAUCAAAGUGUUUGUGGGCUCAAAAGCAAAAAGACAUCAGUUCUGAAAUACAAGAGUUGUGCUGAGGUGGUUUUUGUCCCUUUGUGUGUCCUUAUGAGGAAGAGUGCUUCUUGAGCCUUUGAACCCUAGAGUCCUGCCAGUUUGAGUGGAAGAGGUGGCAUUUUCCUUUAAGCUGCAGGUUGCCUUCUGUUCAGAUCCUCAAGCAUCAAGGUCAGGUCCCGUUCAGAAUAACUGAAUGUUAAUUGACUUGCUGGGAAUUAACGUGCAUUAUCUUGUUUAUACCAGUGUUCUGCUGGCAGUUUGUAAAUCAUUCUCUGGAGGGCUCUGACAUGGAUUUGAAGUUUAUUUCUGUUUUAUAGGAAUAGGGUUAAUCUCUAGCGAUGCUAGAGGGUUAGAGAAAUUAGAUAGGAUGAGGCGGUGGGGGCAGGGGACCUCUCCUUUGCACACUCCUGUAUCAUGAAUGAUCACCACAAUUGGCAGGGAUUGUGGAGACUAUGUUUACCUCCAGGUAAGAAGCAGACUGGCUCUAUAAUUAGGUUAACACUUUCCUGGGAGACUUUAUUUUGCUCUUUACCUUUUCCAAAUGGAUAUAGGCUCUUGCUUGCUUGAGCUUUCCCUUGGCAGCUAACCAACACACACAAUACACACGCACACACGCAUGCGUGCAGAGGCACAGACUGGCUGGCACACUCGUAAAGACCAUGCAAGGUGACCCCAGUGAUUUGUAUGGCUACCCCUUGCCAUGGUCCAUUUCUCAAUGAGUUGGGCAGUCUUCCAAAUACUCAGCAGCUCUCUAUGCAGUAAUCACUUUGACUUCAUUGAAACCCCAAGCAAGAGGUGUACAGUUCCCCUACAUAAUGCUCUAUUUUUGGUUUACAUUAACUGUAAUCCCACUGUUGCUUAUUUCUCUUGCUGCCAACCAAGUAAUUUUGGGGAAGUCACUGGGCUUCAGUUUCCUUAUGUAUACAAUUAAGUAACUUACCUUUUAGCUACAGCCUUGGUUUUAUGCCUUUUUCCUUGGUUUCAGGGAAUAAAACGGUUGCCAGCUCCCAGGCUACUCAUCUUAGACCUGAAGCCUGGAACUGCAGUGCUGUAUUGAAAACUGUAGUGGCCUUAGAGGGUUAGUUUAGAAUUCUGGAUCUGCCUCUGUCUUACUGUUCAUCUGACCUUAGGCAAAUCUCUUGGAUCUUCAAUUUCGUCAUCAGAAAAAUGGGGAUGAAUAUUCUGUCUUUCUUACCCUGCGGGGCUAUGAUGAGAGUGUGCUGAUCAGUACGGAGGCUGAUAAAUUGCUAGGUUUUUCUGAUCUGUCCUUUUAGUGAGGGAGGUGCCAUCAAACUGGUCCUAGUCCCUGAGUGUUCUGAGUUAGCCACCCUUGCAGGGCAGAAUUCUAUAGGGAUACCAUUCCUGGGCGACCCUCAGUACCAUCCAAGCAGUUUUUAGGGGAAAGAGUCAGACAUAUAAAAUGGACGUGAAGGCAGUUUUGAGAACCAGUGAUGUGAAGGCAAGGAAAUCUUACCAUUCUCUUGAUCUUCAAUCCUGAUCAUCGCUGUAUAUGCAAGGAUGUCCCUUCUCAUAUUUAAUGCCUGAGGUACAGUGCAGACAAGGAUGGAGUCUGUAGGGGACUGUCCUGCUGUCGUCUUAUUAAGCUUGACAAAUGUAGCUUCUAGUCUUGAUUCUUAAUUUUCUUGCCGAUAUGAUAAAUAGAAAUCAUCUGUGACACAACUGUUGGAAAUGAACUUCCUAAGAGCUAUACAUCUUUUGGGAACUCUUUCAACUUGAACUAUAUUUAGCCUCUCUAAGCCCUCUUUAAAGCACUAACUGGGGCACUGCAAUAUUAGGGGUUGAUAAAGGAAGAGGAGGUAGAGAGGAACAGCAUCAAUCUGUUUCUACUUAGACCAUUUUGCUACCUGUUAGAGUUGGUUUUGGAACUGACACCAGUUAGUUAAAUUCUGUGCCUAAGGAAUAGCUUUGGGAUGAGAACCUGGAGUUUAUGCAUAUGGCUUCACAAGCCACAAAGUCUUAGGCUUAGUCCUUCCCUUCACUCUUCCUCUGAUCCAGAUACACCUGUCUGGAAAUGAACUCGGCAACAUAGUUCAGAGCCUCGGUCCCAGGCUGGUACUAUUAAGGACUUUGGAGGAGGGGGAGGGAUAGAGAGAAAAAAUAACCCUAUCCAGAACUAUGAUUCAAAAUUAAAGAGGCAAAACAAAAUUCUCAGGAGGUGAGUGUUUUAUUUGUCUUAAUUCGUUUCACUUUAAUUUGUCAGUGAAAUGAGAUAAGAACAUCUGUUUCCUGCUCAAUAGGAGCCAUGUUCUUUCAGGUAAGAAUGAUAAUGUGGGGGGAAUACAUUUCUGCAGACUUGCCCUAAUCUAUUUCUGGGGUAAUGGACUUGCACAGUGGCCUCAAGUGCAGCUGUUAAUAGCUUCUUACAUCUUCCAGCAGAAAAGCACUAGAGCUGUUUUCAGAUAUAUGUUCACUUUGAGGAAAAGAACAACAGACCUUCUGUGAGAGAGAGAAAGAAAGAAAAAAAAAAAGGGGGCUCUUUAAUCUAGCUGAAAGGUGGAAAAUACCUCAGUGCAUGCUCCUUCUGGUAUAAACAACAGUGUUAGGGAAAAGGCUUCUUUUCUCCAUACCAAGAAACAUUUAGGACCCAGAACCUAGAUUCCAUCUCUUCUGUACUUCCCUGGUUACUUUACCCCAAUGAACUUUGGACUCCAGGGGGAAAGUCUAAAAAUACUAGAGCCUAUUUUUUCAAAAGCAAGUAACAAAGAUGGAAGGGGCUUGCUUUUGCCUUAGGGAAAAAAGGGAUAUAAAAUCUUAAUGUUUUCAUUUUUAAACUCUACACCAAAGCCAGACCUUGGAAUAUGGUUAUUUUUAUUUUUAAUAGGCAAUGUAGAGACAAGGUAGCACACAUUCAAAUGGCUCAAAAGGAAAUGAAAGGUUAUUCUCCCUUCCAACCCAGCCUGCCAGCACUCCAGUUCCUCUUGCUGUGGCCAGUUUCUUAUGGCUCCUUCCAGAGAUAAUAUUCUCUGCAUAAUGAAACAUUGAAGUGUGUGUGUGUGUGUGUGUGUGUGUGUGUGUGUGUGUGUGUGUAUUUAUGUGUUCAUGCAUGGGCACCCUCUCUGAGUUCUCUUUUAACCUAAAUAGUUGCAUCCUAUACACAUUCUCUUGCCUCUUGCUUUUUUUUUUAAAUUAAAAAUUGUCUUAAGGACAAUUUCAUAUUAGGACAUAGAGACCAAUCUUCUUAUUUUAACAGCUCUAUAGAAGCCCAAUGAGGUAUGUAUCAUAAUUUAAUGAACCAGCUUCCUUUUCGUGGGAACUUAAGCUCUUUUGAUUCGUUUGCCCUUACAACAUUGGAAUGAAUACUUUCCACAUACCUUACAAUGUGAAGUAUUUUGGAAUCUUGAACUGCCAUGAUGUAAAUUUCUUCUUACAUCUUUCCUCUUCUGUGGUUGCAAGUUUCUCCCAAACUCAGCAGAAAACUUCAGCAAACUUAAUUAUAUUUCAUUUUUGAAAUAUUAACUCUAUGCCAGUAUAUAGUGCUGAUUUCUGGAUGUGGGAUUUCUCUCUGGUUUAGUUUAGAUGUUACCAAUCUAGUCAGGGAAGACAAAAGUUCGAUCAAUGUUUUCACGCUGCUACUAGAUCAGUUAUUGAGUAAAUAUGACCCUUUUUGCUACAGUGGUAAGGUCACAAAAGUCACCUUAACAUCCUGAGGAAAUCAAUUCCAACAAUGGUCUAGGUUAGCCUCUGACUCAGGGAUUUCUGGAUGCAUAGAAUUUCUGCCUCUGCAUUGAUAAGGUCAUACAUAUGUAUGUACCAGAACACAGAGUUCCCUGGGGCUUUGGUUUUCAACUUUGAAUGAAUAGAAACUGGAACACAUUUGAAAUGAGAUUGAAGGCUGUGGGAAUAGUGGAGCUUUGUAUUUUUAUUUUUUAAAUAGAUAGCAUGUUUUGGAGAUGGAUAAAUAAGGAUCUAGCCAUGUAGGGAUAGUGAUGGGUCUAAUCGGAGCUACAGCUGCUGGCCUACGCCACAGCCACAGCAAUGCCAGAUCAGAACCACAUCUGUGACCUACACCACAGCUCAUGGCAACACCAGAUCCUUAACCCACUGAGCGAGGCCAGGGAUCAAACCAACAACUUCAUGGUUCUUAGUUGGAUUUGUUUCUGCUGCGCCACGAUGGGAACUCCCAGAGUACUUUUAUUAAAUAAAUGGGGACAUGAGUACUUGGUGCUCCCAAACUCAAAAUAUCUACAACAGCCUCUCAUUGACAUCUGACUUUGGCUCACCUAACUUCAUAUUGUUGUGGCGGCUGUCAGCAGCCCAAGGCUGGAGUGUAUCAGCUCUGGUGGCAGCCCUAUGGCCAGUGUACCAGCUCUAGCAGCUCUUUCACCCGGUGAGAAACCAAGCAAGAACUUAGAGAGUUGGAGAACUCAGGUUUAUUAUGCCGGUGGGCUCAGAGGAGAUCGCUCUCUGGAGUCUGAGUCCCGAAGAGGGGUUUCACAAGGCUUUUAUGGGCUAGUUCUUCUGGAUCCAUGCUUGGCAGACCAGAGUGAGAACUGGCAAAGUAAUAGAUGCGGAAACAAGUUUACAGAAGCAGAUGUGUAGGGAAGGGGUGGUUGGGGCAGUUGGCUAGACUUUGCUUAGUCAUCAUGGCUGGGGUCUCUCCUUUCUACCUUUUUAUCAGGACACUUUCUCCUAGAAUAUUGUCUUACUUUCCUUAUUGGUAAAAACUAGUUGAACUUGAUCAUCUUUGUGAUCUCCCCUCCACUUCUAAAUGAUUUUUCUUUUUUCUUUGAAUCUUUUGCUUUUUUACGUUUACUGAGCAUUUAACCUCAACAAGUAUUUUCCUAGUUCCAAUCCUGACUGUACUUUAAUAUGUCUAUGAAACACAUAUGUACCUAAAAACAAAAGUAUAAUAUGUACAAUCUAAUAAUAAGCUAGGUAUGAAGAGCAACGUGAACCCAGAAGAGGGAGCAAUCAAUUCACUUGAGACUAUAACAUCUGAAUCUAGUGUGAAGCUUGACCAGUCUUUGCUAAAUCUGUGAUGCCAGACUAGCAGGUAGGAUACAUGCAAUGAAAGUGUGGAGCUGGAAUUACUUAAAAGGGGAAAAGUACAGUGGCAAAUUUACAAAGAUUUAUGUAUCGACUUUUUUUUCCUUCUAAUUGUCCCCAAAGAAAGUAAGGACAAUAUAGAGAUAGAUCAGAAGGUAUUGACCAAAUAAUUAAAGAGUGGACAAGCAUGAUUUCUGAGCAAGUAUCAUGGAAGUGAGUUAGGAAAUGAAUGCUGGCAAAUAAUUGCACAAUAAUUUUAAUAAAACAUUGUCAAGAAACAAAACAAAUAUAACUUCAGUAAACAAAAUGUAACCACACCACUGUCAUCACCGUCAGAACAGCAGAGUGACUUAUGGUACAUAACCCAGUGAAGUCAGAAAUCAGUUAACAAUGGAGAUUGGAUUUUUCCUCUAAAAUCUCAGAACAUAGAAGAGUCUCCCUUGUGAUGGAUUAUGUGUUCAUACUUGAAGUCAGAGGAAUGAAUUAGAAGACUUCUUAAAGCCCUCAGGUCCUCACAUUCUAAUAUUUUGCUUUACCUCCAUGGUUGUUCUGUGAAGUGACUUUACCCCAAAUGAAGAAUUGCUGCUGCAUAAUGGUUGAUGCUUAUUAGAGACAAAUGUGCUGGUCCAGGGAACUAUAUUAAACAGUGUAAAGGAAAUGCCAUUCUCUAAAUGGGAGGAGGGGGAAUAACAACCAAAAAUUAUAUUGAGAAUUAAUUAUAUAUUAUAUUGAAAUUAUAUUCAAAUUUAUAAAAAUAUUUAUAUUCUCUUCAAGCAUAUUCUUCUUGAGAACAAUAAAAGGCCUCACAGAGCCAAUCAUUAUAAAAGCAGGAACUGCUAGAAUAGGAGGGGGUUAAUCAGGGAUGAAAGAUUGAGUUUUCCUACUCUACUUUCCCUUUCUAAUCCAGUUCUUUUCUAAAGCAAAUCCUUCAGAGACUAAAUGUAUUCACUUCUCUAGGAGAGUUAAUUACAGUCUUAUUUAGAAAUAAGAGAGUACCUUACUUUACCCUUUAAAGUUCCUUCAGGACUAUUGUGAUUCUACUAAAAUGCUUUAGGCAUUAAAUAGAGUCAGAAAACUGAAUAUGCAUUCUUGGCUCCAAGAGAAAAAGGAAAAAAAAAAUGUUUCAGAAACAAGAAAAA